UCUUAUGGAUGAGCAAAGAAAGUGGUUUCUUGAGAUGGAACUGACUCCUGGUGAAGAUGCUGUGAU
rnacentral:pre_miRNA from 1 species